rnacentral:misc_RNA from 1 species
GAUGAAGAACGCAGCGAAAUGCGAUAAGUAAUGUGAAUUGCAGAAUUCAGUGAAUCAUCGAAUCUUUGAACGCACAUUGCGCCCGCCAGUAUUCUGGCGGGCAUGCCUGUUCGAGCGUCAUUUCAACCAUCAAGCCCCCGGCUUGUGUUGGGGACCUGCGGCUGCCGCAGGCCCUGAAAACCAGUGGCGGGCUCGCUGUCACACCGAGCGUAGUAGAUUUUCAUCUCGCUCAGGGCGUGCUGCGGGUUCCGGCCGUAAAAAGCCUUAUUUACACAAGGUUGACCUCGGAUCAGGUAGGAAGACCCGCUGAACUUAAGCAUAUCAAUAAGCGGAGGA